rnacentral:misc_RNA from 1 species
AAGAAGACGAAUCAACCAUUUAAGAAAUGUGAAACCAUAUGAGUAUACUUUACCAAGUACACAAGCAUAUAAUGAGCCCAUGAUUCAGUACUCAUCAUGGUCAUAGAAGUUCAUCAUUCCUUUCGAGCAUCACAAACAAUUAGCUUUACAGCCAACAAAAAACACCAAAAUUAAUAAAUCCUAACUUGAAAGCCUGACCUCUCAAUCUUCGUCUCUUUCAGGGGG